UACGGGGGUGGCGAGCGUUACUCGGAUUUACUGGGUGUAAAGGGUAGGUAGGUGGCUUUGCAAGUUGAAGGUGAAAUCCUAUGACUUAAUCAUAGAACUGCCUUCAAAACUACAUUGCUUGAGGACAGAAGAGGAAAGCGGAAUUCCCAGUGUAGAGGUGAAAUUCGUAGAUAUUGGGAGGAACACCGGUGGCGAAAGCGGCCUCCUGGACCGAUACUGACGCUGAGACGCGAAGGCGUGGGGAGCAAACAGG
rnacentral:rRNA from 1 species